AAUAAACGCUGGCGGCGUGCCUAACACAUGCAAGUCGAGCGAGAAAGCUCCUUCGGAAGUUAGUAAAGCGGCGAACGGGUGAGCAACACGUGAGAAUCUACCCUUUAGUGAAGAAUACCCUCGAGAAAUCGAGGCUAAUACUGCAUACGUCCCUUCGGGGAGAAAGAUGGCCUCUUUGCUAUCGCUAAAGGAUGAGCUUGCGUACUAUUAGCUAGUUGGCGGGGUAAAGCCCACCAAGGCAAUGAUGGUUAACCGGCCUGAGAGGGUGUACGGUCACACUGGAACUUAGACACGGUCCAGACUCCUACGGGAGGCAGCAGUGAGGAAUCUUGCGCAAUGGGCGAAAGCCUGACGCAGCGACGCCGCGUGGAGGAUGACGGUUUUCGGAUUGUAAACUCCUGUUAAGCGGGAAGAAGCCUUGUUUCUAAUACAAGCAAGGUAUGACGGUACCGCUAGAGAAAGCACCGGCUAACUUCGUGCCAGCAGCCGCGGUAAUAUCGUC
rnacentral:rRNA from 1 species